GGCGAGGUGGCCGAGUGGUGAAGGCGAUGGACUUGAAAUCUGUUGUGCUGUGCAUGCGUGGGUUCGAAUCCCACCCUCGUCG